GCUGCGGCGUGCCUAAUACAUGCAAGUCGAACGAAGAGAAAUAGCUAAGCUUGCUUAGCAAUGGAUCUUAGUGGCGAACGGGUGAGUAAUACAUAAUAACCUGCCUCGACGUCUGGGAUAACAGUUGGAAACGACUGCUAAUACCGGAUAAGUUACCUGAAGGCAUCUUCAGAAAACGAAAGAUGGGAUACAUCGCAUCGAGAUGGAUUUAUGGCGCAUUAGUUAGUUGGUGAGGUAACGGCUCACCAAGACGAUGAUGCGUAGCCGGCCUGAGAGGGUGACCGGCCACACUGGGACUGAGACACGGCCCAGACUCCUACGGGAGGCAGCAGUAGGGAAUUUUCGGCAAUGGGGGCAACCCUGACCGAGCGACGCCGCGUGAGUGAAGAAGGUCUUCGGAUUGUAAAGCUCUGUUGUAAGGGAAGAACCGUACCAGUAGGGAAUGACUGGUACCUGACGGUACCUUACCAGCAAGCCACGGCUAACUACGUA
rnacentral:rRNA from 1 species